CCUACGGGGGGCUGCAGUGGGGAAUAUUGGACAAUGGGGGGAACCCUGAUCCAGCCAUGCCGCGUGUGUGAAGAAGGCCCUCGGGUUGUAAAGCACUUUCAGUGAGGAAGAACGCCUGGUGGUUAAUACCCAUCAGGAAAGACAUCACUCACAGAAGAAGCACCGGCUAACUCCGUGCCAGCAGCCGCGGUAAUACGGAGGGUGCGAGCGUUAAUCGGAAUUACUGGGCGUAAAGCGCGCGUAGGUGGCUUGAUAAGCCGGUUGUGAAAGCCCCGGGCUCAACCUGGGAACGGCAUCCGGAACUGUCAAGCUAGAGUGCAGGAGAGGAAGGUAGAAUUCCCGGUGUAGCGGUGAAAUGCGUAGAGAUCGGGAGGAAGACCAGUGGCGAAGGCGGCCUUCUGGACUGACACUGACACUGAGGUGCGAAAGCGUGGGUAGCAAACAGGAUUAGAUACCCCGGUAGUC
rnacentral:rRNA from 1 species